CAAAAAAAAAAAAAAAAAAAAAAAAAAAAAAAAAAAAAAAAAAAAAAA
rnacentral:ribozyme from 1 species